rnacentral:rRNA from 1 species
AGUGAACGCUGGCGGUAGGCCUAACACAUGCAAGUCGAACGGCAGCACAGUAAGAGCUUGUCCUUACGGGUGGCGAGUGGCGGACGGGUGAGGAAUGGAUCGGAAUCUAAUUUUUCGUGGGGGAUAUCGUAGGGACACUUCUGCUAAUACCGCAUACGUUCUACGGGUGAGAGCAGGGGAUCUUCGCACUUUGCGCGUCACUAUUAGCUGAUGUCGCAUUACAUAGGUGGCGGGGUAAGGGCCCACCAAGGCAACGAUCCGUAGCUGGUCUGAGAGGAUGAUCAGCCACACUGGAACUGAGACACGGUCCAGACUCCUACGGGAGGCAGCAGUAGGGAAUAUUGGACAAUGGGCGCAAGCCUGAUCCAGCCAUACCGCGUGGGUGAAGAAGGCCUUCGGGUUGUAAAGCCCUUUUGUUGGGAAAGAAAAUCAGCAGGUUAAUACCCCGCUGUUCUGACGGUACCCAAAGAAUAAGCACCGGCUAACUUCGUG